rnacentral:rRNA from 1 species
ACCCGCUGAACUUAAGCAUAUCAAUAAGCGGAGGAAAAGAAACCAACAGGGAUUGCCUUAGUAACUGCGAGUGAAGCGGCAAAAGCUCAAAUUUGAAAUCUGGUGCCUUCGGCGCCCGAGUUGUAAUUUGGAGAGACAUCUUCGGAGUAGACGCCGUCCUAAGUUCCUUGGAACAGGACGUCACAGAGAGUGAGAAUCCCGUGCCUGGAUGGCUGUUCUACUUCAUGUGAAGUGUCUUCGACGAGUCGAGUUGUUUGGGAAUGCAGCUCAAAAUGGGAGGUAAAUUUCUUCUAAAGCUAAAUAUUGGCGAGAGACCGAUAGCGCACAAGUAGAGUGAUCGAAAGAUGAAAAGCACUUUGAAAAGAGAGUUAAAAAGUACGUGAAAUUGUUGAAAGGGAAGCGCUUGAGACCAGACUCGACCAGUGGUGAUCAGCGGUGCUUCUGUGCCGUGCACUUGCCAUUGGUUGGGCCAGCAUCGGUUUGGACGGCGGGAUAAAGACCUAAGGAAUGUGGCUCCCUCCGGGGAGUGUUAUAGCCUUGAGUGCAAUGCCGCCAGUCUGGACCGAGGACCGCGCUUCGGCUAGGAUGCUGGCGUAAUGGUCUU